AAGAGUUCAUUGUCAAUGGCAGAGGUCGCUUCUGUGCCUCUACAUGGAAGGCUAUCCCUUGGACCUGUUCAUAUUCAACAGAUUGGAGAACUGUCAAAAACAAGGGCCAGUGUUUGUAAAGAACUGCAGAUUGUUAUGGAGGGUCGUUCUGCCGUCUUGACCCUUUGGGGGAGAGAGAGAGAGAGAGAGCAGAACAAUCCUCCAUAAUUUUAGGAGCACUUACAACAUAUGGAAUAUCAAAGCAAAUGAAUUUCGUGGCCAGAGGGCCUACAAUUCAACACCAUCAACAACAUUUGAGAUGGCUGAGGAAAUUGCGGUAAAGGCUGACAAUUUUGAGGGUGAAAUUGAAUCUGUCUCCUUUGAAAGGAAAAUAUAUAUAGUCUGAAAAGUAAUCUGGUAGAGAUGUUGGGUGAUAUUGAACAAAGAGAAUCCCUCUUCCCCAAUAACAAAAAUUGUCCAGGGAAAGAGAGUACAGGGGAGGGAAAGUAAAGGGGAGAUCAUGGAAAUCACAGUCAAACAAAAUAAAAAGAAGUAGAAAAAUGGAUCAUUUUUGUAUAUAUUGAUUUAAUUCAAAUUCUUCACAUUGUGAAUUAUCCAGGCCCCAGGAUGGAUCAUGAAAAUCAUAAUCUUAAUACAAAAUCUUUAUGUUGUAAAAAGUAUAAUUGUAGAUGUCUUAUAUGUAGAGAGUUAAAUAUAUUAAAAAAAAAAUAAAAUUGA